rnacentral:rRNA from 1 species
CGUAGGGUGCGAGCGUUAAUCGGAAUUACUGGGCGUAAAGCGUGCGCAGGCGGUUUUGUAAGACAGAUGUGAAAUCCCCGGGCUCAACCUGGGACCUGCAUCUGUGACUGCAAGGCUAGAGUACGGUAGAGGGGGAUGGAAUUCCGCGUGUAGCAGUGAAAUGCGUAGAUAUGCGGAGGAACACCGAUGGCGAAGGCAAUCCCCUGGACCUGUACUGACGCUCAUGCACGAAAGCGCGGGGAGCAAACAGGAUUAGAUACCCUGGUAGUCCACGCCCUAAACGAUGUCAACUGGUUGUUGGGUCUUUACUGACUCAGUAACGAAGCUAACGCGUGAAGUUGACCGCCUGGGGAGUACGGCCGCAAGGUUG